CCUAAGUUCCCCAUUUGGAAAAUUUGGAUUUGUGAAAGAGAGAACUCCUAAUAACAGAUCAUUUUAUACUUUUUGAUGGAAGAGAAUCGAACUUUGUAACAGAGAAUUGUUAUUACACGGUGAGUAGCUCUCUGGGAUGAAUCUUUUUCAGUGCCUAAAGAUGUAAAACUCCCCUCUUCUAGAUCAAAUUAGAGGAGAUACACCAAGAUACAACGUCCUUGUUUUUUACUUUUGAUGAUUGAGUUCGCCUCCUU